AUGAAGAUGAAGACGAGAAGAUACAAGCUGCUAGAGAUGAAAAGGCAAAGCAUGACGAUGAAUUGUCUAACAGGAGGCUUGGCUCUGCUGGAGCAGCUCAGGUUCACCAAGGUCCCUAAUGCCACCAACCCUGAUGGACUGACAUCUACCAAGGUGUCUUUUGGUGCAUCUAAAGAAAGUGUGACAGGGUAUACAGCCAAACAAAUGAUUUCAAAUCCAUCAUAUUUGUCUGAAAGAAUGAUGCUGUGCCGGAUUGUUGUCUCUAAAGUUUGGUCUGGAUUUUCCACGAUUACAUUCUGAGAGUCCAUUUGGAGAUUCCAGAAUCAUCCUAUUAUGUUUUAUCUUUUAUUGAGCCAAGCAUGGACACAAUUUGGUGGGGGA